GACGAACGCUGGCGGCGUGCCUAAUACAUGCAAGUAGAACGCUGAAGGAGGAGCUUGCUCUUCUGGAUGAGUUGCGAACGGGUGAGUAACGCGUAGGUAACCUGCCUGGUAGCGGGGGAUAACUAUUGGAAACGAUAGCUAAUACCGCAUAAUAGUAGAUGUUGCAUGAUAUUUACUUAAAAGGUGCAAUUGCACCACUACCAGAUGGACCUGCGUUGUAUUAGCUAGUUGGUGGGGUAACGGCUCACCAAGGCGACGAUACAUAGCCGACCUGAGAGGGUGAUCGGCCACACUGGGACUGAGACACGGCCCAGACUCCUACGGGAGGCAGCAGUAGGGAAUCUUCGGCAAUGGACGAAAGUCUGACCGAGCAACGCCGCGUGAGUGAAGAAGGGUUUCAGAUCGUAAAGCUCUGUUGUAAGAGAAGAACGAGUGUGAGAGUGGAAAGUUCACACUGUGACGGUAUCUUACCAGAAAGGGACGGCUAACUACGUG
rnacentral:rRNA from 1 species